UACGUAGGGGGCAAGCGUUGCUCGGAUUGACUGGGCGUAAAGGGCGCGUAGGCGGUUCGUACAGUCAGACGUGAAAUUCCUGGGCUCAACCUGGGGGCUGCGUUUGAUACGUGCGGACUUGAGUGCGGAAGAGGGUCGUGGAAUUCCCAGUGUAGAGGUGAAAUUCGUAGAUAUCGGGAGGAACACCGGUGGCGAAGGCGGCGACCUGGGUAGAUACUGACGCUGAGGCGCGAAAGCGUGGGGAGCAAACAGG
rnacentral:rRNA from 1 species